rnacentral:misc_RNA from 1 species
AGUUCUGCCUCAGUACACUAAAUUAAUAUCGAGACAGCUCAGCCUAAGGAGACGAAGACUACUUCACUAUACGAGAAUCCCAGGGGUUAUUAGCCACUCCCGACACCUCCAUUAGGAAGAAGAGGCGCUCGAGAGACCUUCCCAGUUAGUCAAUUAAGGCUUCCCACUCAUUGAUCAGGACAAAGGGGAGGUCUGAUCUUGAUCUUAUUCCACAGAGACAUAGGAAAGACAGAGGCCCUUGGACCUUAUGAGUAAACUGGACGAAGAAGAAGGAGUUGACCCUUGACUCACUACCACUGCCGAAGUUACUGGAGAACUACGACAAAGGGGCUCAAAUCCAGGUGGUUAAGUCUCCUUUAACAAACCGACUAGAAGACCCACAGAUGAAGUUUCACCCAUUCCAGGUUUUUACGUGCAUUGCAUUGAGAUAUACCAACUUCGUACGAUCGAUAUAACAAGGAUCCAGUCCUUACCAAAAAGACGUCGACAGGAUGAAAUCAAUGCUUGGUUCCUG